rnacentral:rRNA from 1 species
UGGGGAAUAUUGCACAAUGGGCGCAAGCCUGAUGCAGCCAUGCCGCGUGUAUGAAGAAGGCCUUCGGGUUGUAAAGUACUUUCAGCGAGGAGGAAGGCGGUAAGGUUAAUAACCUUAUCGAUUGACGUUACUCGCAGAAGAAGCACCGGCUAACUCCGUGCCAGCAGCCGCGGUAAUACGGAGGGUGCAAGCGCUAAUCGGAAUUACUGGGCGUAAAGCGCACGCAGGCGGUCUGUCAAGUCGGAUGUGAAAUCCCCGGGCUCAACCUGGGAACUGCAUUCGAAACUGGCAGGCUAGAGUCUUGUAGAGGGGGGUAGAAUUCCAGGUGUAGCGGUGAAAUGCGUAGAGAUCUGGAGGAAUACCGGUGGCGAAGGCGGCCCCCUGGACAAAGACUGACGCUCAGGUGCGAAAGCGUGGGGAGCAAACA